UGUAACUAUUAAGAUAGGUAUCAUCAUAAAAUUGCCAGCGUUCAUCGUUCUUCAACCAUAAAGAUUCUUGGCGUAGAUCUGGGUAUGAACUGAAACUCCUUAAUCUGUUCAAGGAACUGAACGCCGGCCGAUCUUGAUACUGAUCAUACCAUCUAUUUGCAGGAGUUGAAGGAUAUGAUCUUUGCAAAUCUUGUGCUCCAUUUGAUAAGCUGCGAUAGCUUCUACUUCCAGAGUUGCUCUUAUCACCAUUGUUGUUGUUAAGAAAUCCACAGACAAUAGCAAACAUUACAAGAACAAAAUUAAGGUAAUCCCAGCUUUUCUUGAUCAACUGUGGUCUAAAAAUCUGGGAAAUCAAAGAAACGAAUGAAGGGACAAUAAUGAAAACAAAAACAAAUGCUAAAACUAGUAAAACUAUGAGAAGGACACCGGAGUUGAGGAAGAAAGAGGAGGCUCGGCUGCGUAGACGGUGGCGGCGGUCGGUGGUUUGCAGCCAGAAAGGUGGCAUGUCUUCUUCGUCUUCCAUUAUUCUUGAGGUUUUGAUCUUUGCUUUUGAGUUUUUGAUAAAGUGGAAGAAGGGGAGAGCUUUUUUCUAAGACACUUUCGGUUUGCUUUUGAUUUAUGCUUUUUAGAUGUUAGCUCUUUACAUAUAUAUAUGAAAAUGGAAAUUAAGAAUUAUGGGAAUGAUUGCUUUGCUUAUACAAUAAUAAAAAUAAAAUGAAGAAAAAUACUUAUCUGUUUAUAAUAAUUAUAAUAAAAUUCGUAAAAAAUAAAUAGAAAUAAUAUAUAAUUAUUUCUUGAUGGGUAUCAAUUUUCUUGUUUGAUUGGCUGUGACUGCAGGAAUGACAGCCAAGGCAUGGUUAUACGUGUAUGCAGCUGUAAAUGGAGACUAUUAGAAAUAUAUAAUUAUUUUUAUAUUAAAUUUAAAUUUUUAAUUAAAUAAGAUGUUAAUAGAUUUUGUAAUUAGGAC
rnacentral:lncRNA from 1 species